rnacentral:lncRNA from 14 species
GUCAAUGGUUGUGGAUAGUUCUUCACUGGACACAAGCAGCCUUUCAUUAUUGUCUCCAGCAUGUGCCUCAGAUCAGGAGCCACCUGAAUCUCGGAUCUGCCAUCAACAGCAACUUCACUGUAGAAGACAUGAUUUUCUCUUGCAGUUCCAUCAUCCUUAUAGGACAUGUACCACCACUGAAAGCUGCCUUCCUGAAUAUAUAGCAUACUGCAUUCUGGAUACUGGGAAAGGGGCAUGUAUUGGUGUGUUGGAGUACGACAUGCACUGUAACAUACAGUAACCACCAU